CUUUCUGAGUAUUGCAGGGCCUUGCUAAUUUGCUGAGGCUGGCUUUGAACUCACAAUCCUCCUGCCUCAUCCUUCCCAGCUUCUGGGAUUGCAGAGCUGCUGCACCCAGCCAUGUGUCCUUUGCUUCUGAGGAAUCCAGAGCCAAUGCCCACCCUGCUAAUCUUCUAGGGGGCAGGCUUAUUCUUCUGUUUCCCUUAGGCAUUUCCUUUCUGCCAGCCUAACUUCCCACUGCCCAGCCCCUCCCUAAGCCUGAGACCAUCCUCUCCCUGGAGGCCCCAGCAGGUGCCUCGUGAGAGAGUCACUGUCUGUGUCCUAGGAUGUUCUGAGCUAUCUUGACCUUUCAGAGAACAGCAUAUGAUCUGGAAGGGGAAAACAGUGUGUUCACAAUAAAGACCAAAAAAUGUAAGAUAGAGUGAGGUGGACAGAGAACAUGAAGCUCUCAUUGGGGAAGAGGGAGGAAUUUGAGAUCAUUUGCACGCUGGGUGCUGCUGUGUGCAGAAAGGGCUUUUGAGUUAUAAAUGUGAUUGCAGGAAGAGCAUUUACUCCACUGGAGAGAAAAUUCUGUAGUUUACACUUUAGUAGCUAAGAUUUAAAGGGGUUCAUUUAGGCUAGUGUUGCCAAAUAUGUUCCACAAAUGAGGAAGCCGAGGUCCAGAGAGAAGAGGGUACUUCUCCAGGACCACAGACCAGCACUGUGGCUCUGAAACUUUUGGAAGUCAGGCACCUCUUUAAAAAUUGAGUAAAUGAUAAUUGUGAUAGUUUGCAUAUAAUUCAGAGGGUUCAUGGCCCCUCUAAACUUGUCGGCAGGGGGUCUGUGAAUCUUGGCUCUCACACUCUGCAGCAAGCUGAUGAAUCAGGAUCUGAAUCCAGCUUUGGCCUCCCAGCCUAAUUUUCCCUCCUCCCUGCCAGCCAACCUCCUGGUUUUGUUAGAGCAGGUCUGGCCUACUUUGGAGCCCUUGGCCUGCAUUUUGUUCGGGCAGCUUUGUGCUUUGUAAAACAUUCUGGGAUUCAGACUCUCAGUCCUCCAGCUGGUCUCUCCCACACCUGAUGGGGGUUAGCGAUGUUGAGUGUGCCAUGCCAAGCCUCUCCACGGAGAGGACUUUCUGGACCAGGAUCUGGACAUGGGGCCUGAAGAGGAGAGUCUGGGCCCCAGCUGGCUCUGUCCUUUAAUAGGUGAAUGAGGGCGAGUCUGAUCUGUGUUCCAGGGACCACCAUUAGCUUAUAGGUGAAUGUAGAAAGAGACAUUCCCUUUGAGGAUUUCUGCAGCUCUGUCCCCUCCUUUGCUGCUGAAGCCCCAUCCUGGGAUUUCCAGAUAUAUUUUCCUUUUGGGGGGGCAGUCCUAGGGAUUGAACCCAAGGG
rnacentral:lncRNA from 1 species